rnacentral:rRNA from 1 species
AUUGAACGCUGGCGGCAGGCCUAACACAUGCAAGUCGAGCGGAUGAAGGGAGCUUGCUCCUGGAUUCAGCGGCGGACGGGUGAGUAAUGCCUAGGAAUCUGCCUGGUAGUGGGGGAUAACGUCCGGAAACGGGCGCUAAUACCGCAUACGUCCUGAGGGAGAAAGUGGGGGAUCUUCGGACCUCACGCUAUCAGAUGAGCCUAGGUCGGAUUAGCUAGUUGGUGGGGUAAAGGCCUACCAAGGCGACGAUCCGUAACUGGUCUGAGAGGAUGAUCAGUCAAUCAGGACGUGAAGCACGUCAGAGGGUACGACGGGAGGGAGCGGUAGGAAAUUUGGGACAAUGGGCGAAAGCCUGAUCCAGUCAGCCGGCGUGUGUGAAGAAGGUCUUCGGUGUGUAAAGCACUAUAAGGUGGAAGGAAGGGCAGUAAUUUAAUAUCUUGCUGUAUUGAAUUUAAAAACAAAAUAAGCACCGGCGAACUACGUCCCAGCAUCCCUGGUAAUACUGAAGAGCACACGGAGGAAC